rfam:Pseudomonas sp. StFLB209 DNA, complete genome.
GGUGGCCGAGAGGCCGCGCCAGUCGAUCAUCGUAUGCUGGCCCGGUUCUUCCUGCUGCU